rnacentral:rRNA from 1 species
UACAGAGGUCUCAAGCGUUUGUUCGGAUUCAUUGGGCGUAAAGGGUGCGUAGGCGGCGCGGUAAGUCGGGAUGUAAAUCUCGGAGCUUAACUCCGAAACUGCAUUCGAUACUGCCGUGCUUGAGGACUGGAGAGGAGACUGGAAUUUACGGUGUAGCGGUGAAAUGCGUAGAUAUCGUAAGGAAGACCAGUGGCGAAGGCGGGUCUCUGGACAGUUCCUGACGCUGAGGCACGAAGGUCAGGGGAGCAAACGGG